GUCGCAGCGGAGGUCGACGCCGGGCGGCACGUCGGCGACCGGCGACGCUCUGUCUCGUGAGGGAUGAAGCGGAACCUGGGGGAUGGGGGAGCGUCCCGGUUAGAUGACCUUUUCCCCAUGAGAAGGGAAUCUGGAUUCUGCCCUCUGAAAGCCCCGACCAACUGCACAACAAGCCUUGUUAAGGGCCAGUCGGCACACAAUACCUGACUUAGUCCCACCUCGCCAAAAGUAUAAAUCUGGCAUUCAGAAUCCUCUUUUUUGAGGACGAGAACUCCAACUAUCUGGACAGGUUGACGGGCCUGGACCUCUCUCUCUCCUCCCCAAGCAGGGACGCCUCUUUGGUGCCACGGCACGAUUUGGAUUCCCGCACGACAGCCUCGAGUGAGGUUUUUGUGGAGUAUCCAAGCAACAGCGAAGGAGCGGUGCAGUUAGCAAGGCAUCUUCCCUGGUCCCUGCCUAUGAGCGCUAACUCUACAGAGUCAGGCGGAGCGGCGAUGCUGACUUAAGGGACAGGGCAGGGAAUCAGAGUAGCUAUCCAGGUGACUGCAAGCUGCACGUGUUUGGCCAGGGGUUGGAAUCAGAGGAUCCAGAUUGCAUUGUAGUAGAAAGCUCUGGAACGAGAAAAAUGUUAAGCGAAGCAGGAGAGAUUGACUGUCAAUGUGC